GCUUACGGCCAUACCAGCCUGGGUACGCCCGAUCUCGUCUGAUCUCGGAAGCUAAGCCGGGUCGGGCCUGGUUAGUACUUGGAUGGGAGACCGCCUGGGAAUACCAGGUGCUGUAUGCA
rnacentral:rRNA from 1 species